UUGACAAUGCUAUCAGGUACAUGGGGCAUGGAAGGAGACAUGAUGAAAGGUACAUUCACCAGAAAGGACAAUGGAAAGGUGCUGACAACUACCAGAGCCAUUGUUGGAGAGGAACUUGUACAGAGCUACAGCUAUGAUGGAGUCGAAGCCAAGAGAAUUUUCAAGAGGGGUUAGAGGAAACCGAUCAAACAAUCCAACCACUAAGAUCAAGAAGAGCUACGUUCAAAACCAGAAUGAUACCAUUUUACAACCUUUCUGAAGCCACUGGACCACUUUAGGUCUUUGUAACGCCAACAUCAUUUUUAGCUGUACAAGAUGCACUGUUUGUAAUAGAAAUGUGUAAAGCAGGUUUUAUUUGCACUUCAAGUUUUGAUAUUUUAAGAAGUAAACACAUUUUUGAAUUAUU